rnacentral:rRNA from 1 species
AUGUGGACCUGUCUUCGUCAGCGCUAUGAGCCCUCUGGUGAUGCCUUAUACCUUUCUGUGGUUCGUCAGGAGCAUGCUCUUCAGCAGGGUGACUCUACUGUUGAUGACUUUUAUGCACAGAGUUCUGCUAUCUGGCGCCAGCUUGAUUCUCUCCGCAGUGCUGGUUGUCGUACUUGCCCCUGCUGCCAGGCUAUCCAGGCCGAUUUGGAGUUUCAUCGCGUCUACGAGUUCCUGUCUCGGCUCCGUAAGGAGUUUGAGCCCCGGCGUGCUCAGUUGUUUGCUCGUGGCCGUAUUUCUCUCAUGGAGGCGCUUUCAGAGAUUCGUGCUGAGGAGACUCGCCUACGUGGUGCUGGUUUGCUGGAGGUUCCCUCUGUGCUCGCUACUCGGGUUUCUUCCACUCCACCUGCUGCACCGCCCCAUUCUCGCUCGAGUGCUCCGCCGCUCUUGCCCACUCCUUCUGGAGGCUCAGGUCGCCCCCGUCCACACUGUGACUACUGCAACAAUGAUGGUCAUAUUGAGUCCCAAUGCUACACAAAGCGGAAACACCUGCGCAAGGCACGCUCAUCCUCCUCAGGGACUUCGUCAUCUCCCUCGCCAGCUUCAGCCAUUGCUUUGACUGAGCAGGAUAUUCUGAGACUUAAGCGUCUUCUCGCGGCUUCAGGUUCUUCCUCGACGGGUACUGCUAGUUCUGUGACUGAUGCUUCCCGCACUGAGCACCCGCCCUCUACACAGUCAGGUACAUCCCCAUGGGUUCUGGACUCUGGAGCUUCUUUUCAUAUGUCUUCUCAUUCUUCCGCUUUGUCCUCUCUUUGA